rnacentral:ncRNA from 1 species
UAAUAGGGAGUGGGACAGAAAUAAUAUUUAACAAAAUUUAUUUCGUUCUACCCCAACUUGCAUUGUCUGUAGAAUUUCCUUUCGAAAUUCUCUUUGUUUGGGGCCCCGCCAACUUGCACAUUAUUGUAAGCUGACAGAAAGUCAGCUUCUAUGUUGGGGCCCCACUAGAAUUGAAAAAAGCUUGUUACAAGCGUAUUUUCUUUCAGUCAACUACUGCCAAUAUAACAUUGUAGUGCCUAGGACAUUGAAUU